rnacentral:rRNA from 1 species
CACGUAGGGCGCAAGCGUUGUCCGGAAUUAUUGGGCGUAAAGAGCUCGUAGGCGGUUUGUCGCGUCUGCUGUGAAAACCUAAGGCUCAACCUUGGGCUUGCAGUGGGUACGGGCAGACUAGAGUGCGGUAGGGGUGACUGGAAUUCCUGGUGUAGCGGUGGAAUGCGCAGAUAUCUAGGGAGGAACACCGGUGGCGAAGGCGGGUCUCUGGGC